GUCUUUUUGAUUAUAAUUUAAAGUCUAAUCUGCCCACUGAUAAAUAUUAAAGGGCUGCAGUAUUAUGACUGUACAAAGGUAGCAUAAUCAUUAGUUUUUUAAUUGGAAACUUGUAUGAAAGAUUUGAUGAGAUAUAAGCUGUCUCUUAUUUAUUAUUAAAAAUUUAUUUUUUAGUUAAAAAGCUAAAAUAAUUUUAAAAGACGAGAAGACCCUAUAGAGUUUUAUAUUUAUUUGUAUUUGAAGAGUAUAUAAAAAUUAAUAUUAAAAUAAAAUAAAAUAUUAUAUUGGGGUGAUAGACAAAUUGAUUUAACUUUUUUUAAAAGCAGAACAUAAAUAAAUGAUUAAAUGAUCCAUAAAUAAUGAUUAUAAGAAAAAAUUACCUUAGG
rnacentral:rRNA from 1 species